rnacentral:rRNA from 1 species
UACGUAGGGUGCAAGCGUUGUCCGGAAUUACUGGGCGUAAAGAGCUCGUAGGCGGUUUGUCGCGUCGUCUGUGAAAACUCGGGGCUUAACCCCGAGCCUGCUUCUGAUACGGGCAGACUAGAGGUAUGCAGGGGAGAACGGAAUUCCUGGUGUAGCGGUGAAAUGCGCAGAUAUCAGGAGGAACACCGGUGGCGAAGGCGGUUCUCUGGGCAUUACCUGACGCUGAGGAGCGAAAGUGUGGGGAGCGAACAGG